rfam:Acanthamoeba castellanii str. Neff unplaced genomic scaffold scf7180000084603, whole genome shotgun sequence.
GGAUACGGCCAUACUGCGCAGAAAGCACCGCUUCCCAUCCGAACAGCGAAGUUAAGCUGCGCCAGGCGGUGUUAGUACUGGGGUGGGCGACCACCCGGGAAUCCACCGUGCCGUAUUCU